rnacentral:rRNA from 1 species
GACGAACGCUGGCGGCGUGCUUAACACAUGCAAGUCGAACGGAAAGGCCCUGCUAGUGUGGGCUGCUCGGGGGGCGAACGGGUGAGUAACACGUGAGUAACCUGCUCUUGACUUUGGGAUAACUUCAGGAAACUGGGGCUAAUACCGGAUAGGAGCCCCUGCUGCAGGGUGGGGGGUGGAAAGUUUCGGCGGUUGGGGAUGGACUGGCGGCUUAUCAGCUUGCUGGUGGGGUAGGGGCUUACCAAGGCAUUGGCGGGUAGCCGGCCUGAGAGGGUGACCGGGGACAAGAGGACUGAGAGACGGACCAGAGUCGUACGGGAGGCAGCAGUGGGAAGUAUUGCACAAUGGGCGGACGCCUGAUGCAGAGACGCCGCGUGCGGGAUGCCGGCCUUCGGGUUGUGAAAAGCUGUAGGUUGUGACGAAGCGUGAGUGACGGUAAUGGGUAAAGAAGCACCGGCUAACUACGUG